AGAAUUAAAACACACUAGGCUAGGGUAUACAUGCUUUACAUAAGGAAUGCCAGGCAGGACAAAGGGAUAUUAGGGUAAUAAGGAAAUUGAAUGGUUACUAAUCUCUUCUUGGUGCCAUUAUCUUCAAAAAAGUUCCGUAAGGAAGAAUGUAAACACUAGAGAGGGUGGAGAGCGCGGAAGAAAGAGUUUUAAAGAAGAACACAAGAUAGGAGGAAAAGAGUCCUUACAAUGGUAAAUAAAAUAAAAAAAUGAGAAGUUGGCAGGAAUGUUCCAUUUGUUUUGUUGGAGAAUUCUCGGACACUUUGCACUGGAAUUGUUCCAGCUUCACCUUGGCCAAUGUACCUCUCUAGGUAGUCAUCACUAUAGAAUGCUGGGUUAAAAUCUCAUAACAGUCUAGUUAUUACAAUGACCAGUAUAUCAAAACUGAAUAAACAUACCAAGCCUUGAUCCUGUGAACUUAAAACUUACAUAAGAUCAGCAUGUAAAGCAUGAGAACGGUCCACUAUACAUUUGAGAUAAACAGAGAUGGUAAGGAAAUUAAUGGACG